rnacentral:rRNA from 1 species
UUGACGACCUCAGAGCAGGCGAGAU